rnacentral:rRNA from 1 species
AGCUACAGGCUUAACACAUGCAAGUCGAGGGGCAGCAUGGUCUUAGCUUGCUAAGGCCGAUGGCGACCGGCGCACGGGUGAGUAACACGUAUCCAACCUGCCGUCUACUCUUGGACAGCCUUCUGAAAGGAAGAUUAAUACAAGAUGGCAUCAUGAGUCCACAUGUUCACAUGAUUAAAGGUAUUCCGGUAGACGAUGGGGAUGCGUUCCAUUAGAUAGUAGGCGGGGUAACGGCCCACCUAGUCUUCGAUGGAUAGGGGUUCUGAGAGGAAGGUCCCCCACAUUGGAACUGAGACACGGUCCAAACUCCUACGGGAGGCAGCAGUGAGGAAUAUUGGUCAAUGGGCGAGAGCCUGAACCAGCCAAGUAGCGUGAAGGAUGACUGCCCUAUGGGUUGUAAACUUCUUUUAUAAAGGAAUAAAGUCGGGUAUGCAUACCCGUUUGCAUGUACUUUAUGAAUAAGGAUCGGCUAACUCCGUGCCAGCAGCCGCGGUAAUACGGAGGAUCCGAGCGUUAUCCGGAUUUAUUGGGUUUAAAGGGAGCGUAGAUGGAUGUUUAAGUCAGUUGUGAAAGUUUGCGGCUCAACCGUAAAAUUGCAGUUGAUACUGGAUAUCUUGAGUGCAGUUGAGGCAGGCGGAAUUCGUGGUGUAGCGGUGAAAUGCUUAGAUAUCACGAAGAACUCCGAUUGCGAAGGCAGCCUGCUAAGCUGCAACUGACAUUGAGGCUCGAAAGUGUGGGUAUCAAACAGGAUUAGAUACCCUGGUAGUCCACACGGUAAACGAUGAAUACUCGCUGUUUGCGAUAUACUGCAAGCGGCCAAGCGAAAGCGUUAAGUAUUCCACCUGGGGAGUACGCCGGCAACGGUGAAACUCAAAGGAAUUGACGGGGGCCCGCACAAGCGGAGGAACAUGUGGUUUAAUUCGAUGAUACGCGAGGAACCUUACCCGGGCUUAAAUUGCAGAUGAAUUACGGUGAAAGCCGUAAGCCGCAAGGCAUCUGUGAAGGUGCUGCAUGGUUGUCGUCAGCUCGUGCCGUGAGGUGUCGGCUUAAGUGCCAUAACGAGCGCAACCCUUGUUGUCAGUUACUAACAGGUUCUGCUGAGGACUCUGACAAGACUGCCAUCGUAAGAUGUGAGGAAGGUGGGGAUGACGUCAAAUCAGCGCGGCCCUUACGUCCGGGGCUACACACGUGUUACAAUGGGGGGUACAGAGGGCCGCUACCACGCGAGUGGAUGCCAAUCCCAAAAACCUCUCUCAGUUCGGACUGGAGUCUGCAACCCGACUCCACGAAGCUGGAUUCGCUAGUAAUCGCGCAUCAGCCACGGCGCGGUGAAUACGUUCCCGGGCCUUGUACACACCGCCCGUCAAGCCAUGGGAGCCGGGGGUACCUGAAGUGCGUAACCGCGAGGAGCGCCCUAGGGUAAAACUGGUGACUGGGGCU